rnacentral:pre_miRNA from 1 species
ACCAUCAAGUAGAUGAAGCUGCCAGCAUGAUCUGACCAUCUCUCUCUCUCUCUCUCUCUCUCUCUCUCUCUCUCUCUCUUAAAGAGGGAAGUAUCAGAUCAUGCGGCAGUUUCAUCUUCUGAUGGA